GACGAACGCUGGCGGCGUGCUUAACACAUGCAAGUCGAGCGGCGCGGCGAACUGGUGAGUAACGCGUGAGUACCUGCCCCCCUCUCUGGGAUAACAGUUGGAAACGGCUGCUAAUACAGGAUAGUGGGGGAUGACUCGCGUCCUAUUAGCGUGUUGGUGGGGUAGUUGCCUACCAAGGCGACGACGGGUAGCCGGCCUGAGAGGGCGACCGGCCACAUUGGGCUGAGAUACGGCCCAAACUCCUACGGGAGGCAGCAGUGGUGAAUAUUGCACAAGGGGGGAAACCCUGAUGCAGCAACGCCGCGUGCGUGAUGACGGCCUUCGGGUUGUAAACCGCUUUCAUCCAUGACGCGGUAGUGGCAGAAGAAGCACCGGCUAACGACGUGCCAGCAGCCGCGGUAAUAG
rnacentral:rRNA from 1 species